CAACGCAACACGCAGGCCGCCUCCUCUCUGGGAGUCAGUGACUGACUCCCAGGAUUCUUCAGUCACCAGCCUCAUCCUCGGUCUGCUCUCCUGCCCACGAAGCGCACUGAAGACCGCCGCACUUGCGGAAAGCUGACGUGGAAGGACGUUCUUCACCCCUGCCCACUUCUCUCACCCAGCCCCAGAUUUAUCAGUGAAGGCAGAUCUCAGCAAGAUGAUGUCGACACUGAUGCUUUGACUAAGGAACCAGAAGGAACCCUGGAAGAAGCAAGCACAGAAAAGGCCAUGUCACUGGAUCUUUCCAACGAGGGGCUACGUCCUGUCCCUUGCAGUCAAGAUCGAGGAGCAGGUGACACGUGCCCCGGAGUAGGGACAACUUGAUAUCAUGGCGGAAACACCUGGGAUCGUGCGUGCUACCGAAAUUCAGUUUAUUUUCCUACAUCUCCGGAAGAGAGUGGCGCACAAUUUUAAUAAAGAUAACCUGCGUCUCACC